GGACAAUGGGCGGAGGCGCAUGCACGAGGGGAUCCCAUGCUUUUAUUUUCUAUCGUCUUUGAACCUAAACACAGAUUCCCGGUCGGAAUAUUAUCGUUUCUUUACGAGAAAAAUGGCAUAAAAAUUUAUUUUAAACAGCGGUUGACAUGCUUCGAAGUACGGUAAUGGAAUAUUUAGAAUUUUUUUGUCACGAAAUGCGUCGUGCGCGUCAGCCUUCUUUACCAUUCGGAUAGUGUCUUGAACGCACGAACAAAACAGAGGAUAUUUGAACAUAACUAGGGAUUAUUUUGAACCAAACCAACAUUUGUUAUUGAACUAGAAGUCCUGGGAGUGCAUUCUGACGAAGACAGCAAAGACCUGGCUCCCAGAACGCUAAGGCAGACGCAUUAUCCCGGCUGUAUGACACAGAGGAGCGGCCCAUGGAUCCCACUCCCAUACUCCCCGCCUCUUGCCUGGUGGCGCCUGUAGUGUGGGAGCUGGACGCGGACGUUGACAAUGAAAGUUACACAGUACUCUCCUCGAAUUAUCUGAUUACAGCACUGCAUUUUUCUUUUAACAUAGGAACUACUAAAUCAAAGGGACGGUAAAUCCCACGUCGGGAAGUUGACUCAAUGUCAUAUAAAAUGCGAAUCAAUUUAUAACAUUUUUGACAUGCGUUUUUCUGGAUAUUUUUGUUGUUAUUCUGUCUCUCACUGUUCAAAUAGACCUACCAUUAAAAUUAUAGACUGAUCCUUUCUUUGUCAGUGGGCAAACGUCCAAAAUCAGCAGGGGAUCAAAUACUUUUUCCCCCCACUGAACGUUGUGUGGAAAAUGUCCAAAUCAAAGAGAAUGUUUUGGUAAUGAUGAAAUGUGAAGUUAGUUGUCUAAAAUUGGAUUUGAGUAAAAUCUAGACCUUGCCUCUUAACUUGGUACGCCCAGAGAAUUGCCCUAAAAGCGGUUACGCCCACUUCUGACCUGAGGGUAUAAGACAUGGGAGUUAAGAAUGAACAGAUCAGACUAAGUGACCCAAGCUGCAGCCGAGGUCUAAAAAGUCAACGAACCCCAAAACGCAACACAAGGAAGGAGACAAAGAAAUAUUUUUCUACCCAUGCUAUGGAUGAGAAGCCGUGUCUAAGCGUGUG
rnacentral:lncRNA from 1 species